UACUGCUGGGAGUCAGCAGCUGCAACAGGUUCUCAGAAACCCCACUUAUGCUGCGGCCGAGGGGUCCUUCUGAGAAAUGAUGCCAUGCGACAGGCAUAAAAGGAGGCUUAUUGUGGGAAGGGAGGAGAUCAGGGACCUGGUAAAGGGGUAGAGGCAGAGAAAGGGGGAAAGGAGACAGAGAAGGACCGAAGGGGAGAAAAAGAGAAAGGCCGGCCAAGAACACGUGGGAAGAGGAGGAAGGGGUCUGGGGUAGCAAGCAGUGCUUCUAUCCACUGUACUUGGCUCAUACCUGGAGGCGAGUGAUGACGCACGCUGUUGCUAGGCCACGUGUGUUGCAGGUGCCAUCGGAGUUCAGAAGAGCGUGUCCGAUCCCGUGGAGUUUUAGUUUCAGGCAGUUGUGGGUAACGUUACCUGACCUGGGUGCUGGGGACUCAACUCUGAUCCUCAGCAAGAGCAGGACAGAGGAAGAGAGGAAGAACUUAACCUCCGCGCCAUCUCUCCAGUCUCCUGUAUUGGCUUUUUUGCCUCAACCUCCUGGCAGUCCUCUUGCCUAGCUUCCUGGGUGCUGGUAUUCGAGGCACGAACGACCAUGCUCAGGCACUUAGGAGCUCAUUAACAGAUUUUAUCCAGCUGGGAGCAGCCAAGAGUUUAUAUAAACAGCUCAGCAUUGCAAACCGAAGCCCAAAUACCAAGAGAAGCCAGAACCAAGAACACCAGACGCCCUUAGUAGGCACUCAAGAGCACCAGCCUAUGUCUAGCUUAUUUGGCUUCUCCUCGGGCUCGUUCCUCUGGCCUCAUUAGGUUCAAGUGAUGAAGCCAGGGUCUGCUUUGAGAUAACUAUUGUUGUGGCUAGACUUGCCACCCAGAUGGCUUCUAAGGUCCUAGAAUUCAGUCACCCCUUUUGCCCUUUGAGUAGCUUCUUUUGUUUGUUUUGUUUUGUUUUUCGAGACAGGGUUUCUCUGUGUAGCCCUGGCUGUGAUGGAACUCACUCUGUAGGCCAGGCUGGCCAGAACUCAGAAGUUCGCCUGCCUCUGCCUCCCAAGUGCUGGGAUCAAAGGCGUGUGCCACCACUGCCCAGCUUUGAGUAGCUUCUUUAGGAUCCAUUUGUGGUAGUCACAUGUCACCAUAAACUUUGGGGAGUCUCAUCUGGGGUUCCACAAGUUACCAAAGAAAAUUGGGUUCCCCUUUUGGGAAGUCUUAGUCUCAACCAUAAAAGGAUUUAAGAACCAAAUUAUAAGGAAACUCUGGGUCAGUCUUAUUAAAGGUUAAAAGAGAGCCUCUGGGCAGGCAAACUAAAUCUUGAGGCCAUUUGGAGAAGGAAGAGGACCAAGAGGAAGAGAGACACCCACACCUCUGGAAGCCAUAUUACAAGAGAAAACUUCUGGGAAAGAGCAAGAAAUUCUUAAAGCAAGUCUCCUAACACAGGCUGGCUUCCAAUUGGAUCAUCCUGCUUCUACAUCAAGAAUGCUGGGAUUAUAGGCAUGGACCACACCAGUUUCAUGUCAUGCUAAGGAACAAACCCAGAGCUUCAUGCAAGCAAGCAGGCAUGCAAGCAAGCAAGCAAGCAAGCAAGCAGCCAACAUUUUACCAGCUCUGUUCCAUCCCUAGCCCCUUUCUCUUCUCCUGGGGCUGGCGAGAUGGCUCAGAGGU